rnacentral:rRNA from 1 species
UACGUAGGGGGCUAGCGUUGUCCGGAAUCAUUGGGCGUAAAGAGCUCGUAGGCGGUUUGUCGCGUCGAAUGUGAAAACCCGGGGCUCAACUCCGGGCUUGCAUUCGAUACGGGCAGGCUAGAGUUCGGUAGGGGAGUCUGGAAUUCCUGGUGUAGCGGUGAAAUGCGCAGAUAUCAGGAGGAACACCGGUGGCGAAGGCGGGACUCUGGGCCGAUACUGACGCUGAGGAGCGAAAGCGUGGGGAGCGAACAGG